AGCAGCCGCGGUAAUUCCAGCUCCAAUAGCGUAUAUUAAAGUUGCUGCAGUUAAAAAGCUCGUAGUUGAAUUUCGGGAUCAAUAUGUUGGUCGUGCCUCGGUACGUACUAGCUUAUUGGUUUCUCCCUUCUGACGAACCAUGAUGUCAUUUAUUUGGUGUUAUGGGAAAUCAGGACUGUUACUUUGAAAAAAUUAGAGUGUUUAAAGCAGGCUCACGCUUGAAUACAUUAGCAUGGAAUAAUGAAAUAGGACGUUUGAUUCUAUUUUGUUGGUUUCUAGGAUCGACGUAAUGAUUAAUAGGGAUAGUUGGGGGCAUUAGUAUUCAAUUGUCAGAGGUGAAAUUCUUGGAUUUAUUGAAGACUAACUACCGCGAAAGCAUUUGCCAAGGAUGUUUUCAUUAAUCAAGAACGAAAGUUAGGGGAUCGAAGACGAUCAGAUACCGUCGUAGUCUUAACCAUAAACUAUGCCGACUAGGGAUCGGAUGAUGUUAAUUUUUU
rnacentral:misc_RNA from 1 species